AUUGAACGCUGGCGGCACGCCUUACACAUGCAAGUCGAACGGCAGCACGGGAGCAAUCCUGGUGGCGAGUGGCGAACGGGUGAGUAAAGUAUCGGAACGUGCCCAGUCGUGGGGGAUAACGUAGCGAAAGUUACGCUAAUACCGCAUACGAUCUAUGGAUGAAAGCGGGGGAUCGCAAGACCUCGCGCGAUUGGAGCGGCCGAUAUCAGAUUAGGUAGUUGGUGGGGUAAAGGCUCACCAAGCCGACGAUCUGUAGCUGGUCUGAGAGGACGACCAGCCACACUGGGACUGAGACACGGCCCAGACUCCUACGGGAGGCAGCAGUGGGGAAUUUUGGACAAUGGGCGCAAGCCUGAUCCAGCCAUGCCGCGUGCAGGAUGAAGGCCUUCGGGUUGUAAACUGCUUUUGUACGGAACGAAAAGGUUUGGCCUAAUAAGCUGAGCUCAUGACGGUACCGUAAGAAUAAGCACCGGCUAACUACGUGCCAGCCGCCGCGGUAA
rnacentral:rRNA from 1 species